CUCGCGAGGUCUGCGCACGCGCAUUCGUGGCUUGAGUCGAGAAGAACGGUUGGAGGCGGCCGUACUUUGGGCGCGAGGCAGAGGAAGAAAGAAAGAGGCGAAAAAGCAGAAGCAGUUCCCGCGCGCACGAGGCGUUUCCGCUCCGGCCCUCCCUCCGCUUCCUGUCUCGGCGGCCCCGGCGCUCAGUCGGCGUGGCAACCCUGUUCCCUCGCGCGCCUUUGCCGCUCCUUCGGCCGCGGAUGCAGCGCCGCGAGGACCUCGCCGCCCCCGGCCGCCUGGGCAGGGCCCCGGGCCCGGCGGCUCCCCCGGGCCGCCUCCAGUCGCCUCAGGCCGCCGCUUCUCCGAGGAGGCCUCCACGGGGCGGAGGUGGCGGGGUGCGCGGGCCCCAGCCUCCGCCCCUGCUGCCGCCCUCGGCCACCGGCUCGGCUCCGCCGGCCCCCAGCGUCGUCCCUACCCCGCUGAUACCCGGCGCCGGGUCCGCGGCAAAGGCCGAGCCCGAGAACAAGUACCUGCCCGAGCUUAUGGCCGAGAAGGACAGCCUGGACCCUUCCUUCACACACGCCAUGCAGCUCCUGCAAGCCGAAAUUGACAAAAUUCAGAAAGGUGAAUCAAAGAAAGAUGAAGAAGAGACUUACCUGGACUUGUUUUCUCAUAAGAACAUGAAGCUGAAAGAACGAGUUCUCAUCCCAGUCAAGCAAUACCCUAAGUUUAACUUUGUUGGGAAGAUCCUGGGACCCCAAGGCAACACCAUCAAGCGACUGCAGGAAGAAACUGGAGCAAAGAUAUCUGUACUGGGGAAGGGGUCAAUGAGAGACAAGGCAAAGGAGGAAGAACUGCGCAAGGGGGGUGACCCAAAGUAUGCUCAUUUAAAUAUGGACCUGCAUGUUUUCAUUGAAGUUUUCGGGCCACCCUGUGAGGCUUAUGCUCUUAUGGCCCAUGCCAUGGAAGAAGUCAAAAAGUUCCUUGUUCCGGAUAUGAUGGAUGACAUCUGCCAGGAGCAGUUUCUGGAGCUGUCUUAUCUCAAUGGUGUGCCAGAGCCAACACGAGGUCGAGGGAUUCCUGUACGAGGAAGGGGAGCUGUUCCCCCACCUCCACCUGUUCCUAGUGUGUGGAGUGGGGCAGCCUUGCUGAACAGGGGACGUGGCGUGGGACCUCCACCACCACCUCCACGUGGAGCUCUUGUGCGGGGGGCCCCAGUAAGAGGUGCCAUUGCAAGAGGAGCAGCUGUGGCCCGUGGCGUUCCCCCUCUUCCAGCAGUGAGAGGUGCCCCUGCACCAAGAGCUCGGGCAGCCGGUAUUCAAAGAAUACCUCUUCCUCCCCCUCCUGCACCAGAGACCUAUGAAGAUUAUGGCUAUGACGAUGCUUAUGCAGAUCAAAGUUAUGAAGGAUAUGAAGGCUACUACAGCCAGGGUCAACAGGAAACAGAAUAUUAUGACUAUGGACAUGGUGAAGCACAGGAAUCUUAUGAAGCGUAUGGUCAAGAUGAUUGGAAUGGAACAAGGCCCUCGCUCAAGGCCCCUCCGACUAGGCCAGUGAAGGGAGCGUACAGAGAGCACCCAUACGGACGCUACUAAAGCAUACAUGAGGGGGAAAUAACACUUUUGAGCAAACAGUUGUUUCUGAUUCUUGUAUCUCCCAGGAUUCCUGUUGCUUUACCCACAACAGACAAGAGGUGCUCUGCUGUUGGGGUGAAAAUGACUUUUGCUGAGGACGAGUUGGAUCCAAAGAAAACAACACUCCAAGCUGGGAAGAAACUAUUGAUAAAACUACUGAGUGAAACUGUUUAACAGGCAGGACCACAGUGAGUCGAUUCUGGACCUUUCUGAGCAACGUACCCAAAAGACGAACUCCCCAAAUCUAGAAUGCAGGCCCCAAAUCAGGCCAGGGUUUAUCAUGGGAAGGGGGGGGGGAUUAUGUGCCCCAAACCCUAACUUUUCCAUUACAAUAAACUGGGCAAACAGAAUGCUUGAAUCUGCCUUCUCCAACCUGGUGCCCCUCAUGUUUUGGAUCACAACUCAUCAUCCCAAGCCAGCAUGGCCAUGGGGACAAUCAGUGAUGUAGUCCAGGGCCCCAGGUUUGGGAAGACUGCACUGUGGGAUAGUGUGUGUGACCUAAAAUCACCCAUUGCUGAGCAAAGAUUUAAAGCUGAAUCUCUGCAGUUGGAAGCUCUAACCAUUACAUCACAUUGAUUGGGUACUUUUUUUCCGAGACCCAGCAUGAUUCUUGAAAGAUUUCCAAAUUAACUUGCAGUUCUUCUCUUGAGGUUGCAACCCAGCAAGACUAUAUGUGAACAUGGGAAUAAUAUGUCGCUAGAAGUGUUGUCUCUUCAGCAUGUAGGUGUAUUACAAACCUAUAGGUCUUCAGCAUUGCCCUCCAUAUUUGCUGUAAAUUUAGGGGCCCUGGAAACCCUGACCUAAAGGGACUACAAUAUGAGAACCAUUGACAUAACUUUUGCAGCAUAAUUUACUGGUUACAUCCUGAGUUUCAAUAAUUCUCUCCUAUUUUUCUCUAAUAGAUGGAAUCAUCAAAUACAAGAAGAAGAGGCAACAUUAUGAGGCUCAUUUUUACCAGGAAGUGCUCUUUGGAGAACUUCUAAUCUCUGUAAACUAUAUGUGUACUGGGGCUUCAAAGACCUGUUUUCAGUUGAUUCAGUUUUGAGUCUGGGAUCAGCUUAAAUAAUCCUCAUACUAAUCCUAAAACUUGGAAGUGCUUGUGAAAGAACAUGUAGAAUACAGGGUACAUUUUGUGCUGGCACAAUUUCACUACAACUUUCAUUACAGGCAAACAUGGCAGUGUACAUCUGUUUAUUGCUGGACCGUGAAGUAGAUGAGCCCCAGAUACAUUAUUUGAGUGUGCUGUGGUAUUGAGUACAUUUUAAUAAAGGUACUCCAUUUGUAAAAAAAAGUGAUUUCAUGUUAAA